UACAGAGGGUGCAAGCGUUAAUCGGAAUUACUGGGCGUAAAGGGCGCGUAGGUUGCUAUGUAAGUUGGAUGUGAAAUGUUCGGGCUUAACCUGAAACGGCCAUCCAAUACUGCAUAGCUAGAGUACAGUAGAGGGAAGGGGAAUUUCCGGUGUAGCGGUGAAAUGCGUAGAUAUCGGAAGGAACAUCAGUGGCGAAGGCGCCUUCCUGGACUGAUACUGACACUGAGGCGCGACAGCGUGGGGAGCGAACAGG
rnacentral:rRNA from 1 species